AAUGAACGCUGGCGGCAGGCCUAACACAUGCAAGUCGAGCGAGCAUUUCGGUGCUAGCGGCGGACGGGGGAGUAACGCGUGGGAACGUGCCCUUUUCUGCGGAAUAGUCCUGGGAAACUGGGGGUAAUACCGCAUACGCCCUUGUGGGGAAAGAUUUAUCGGAGAAGGAUCGGCCCGCGUUGGAUUAGGUAGUUGGUGGGGUAAUGGCCCACCAAGCCGACGAUCCAUAGCUGGUUUGAGAGGAUGAUCAGCCACACUGGGACUGAGACACGGCCCAGACUCCUACGGGAGGCAGCAGUGGGGAAUCUUAGACAAUGGGGGCAACCCUGAUCUAGCCAUGCCGCGUGAGUGAUGAAGGCCUUAGGGUUGUAAAGCUCUUUCAGCUGGGAAGAUAAUGACGGUACCAGCAGAAGAAGCCCCGGCUAACUCCGUG
rnacentral:rRNA from 1 species